rnacentral:lncRNA from 10 species
GCAGAGGUACGACCAUAGCUCAGUUCAGAAGCCUCGACCUCCCAUGCUUAAGUUAUCCUCCUGCCUCAGCCUCCCAAGUAACUGGGAUUAUGAGAUUACAGGUGCACCACCACACCCAGCUAAUUUCUUAACUUUUUGUAGAGACAAGGGUCUCACACUGUGUUGCCCGGGCUGGUCUCAAACUCGUGGCCUCCAGUGAUACUUCCACCUCAACCUCGCAAAGUGCUGGGAUUUUAAGUGUGAGCCACCGCACCUGGC